UGAGGAACAUGACCUUCGGCGGGGGAUAGCCGGCCCAACGGCCGGGUAAUACCGCGUACGACCACAUGGGGACAUCCCUGAGUGGUGAAAGCAGCAAUGCGCCGAUGGAGUGCCUCGCGGCCUAUCAGCUAGUUGGUGAGGUAACGGCUCACCAAGGCGACGACGGGUANCUGGUCUGAGAGGAUGGCCAGCCACAUUGGGACUGAGACACGGCCCAGACCUCUACCGGGGAGG
rnacentral:rRNA from 1 species